rnacentral:lncRNA from 1 species
AUGACCUCAGAGCGAUCGCAGCCCCCAAAGUUCCGGCUGAUUCCGGGCGGGGGUCCCAUCUCCCGGGCCCCUCCGGGCACGCAGCGGGCACAGCGGGGGUCCGGCCCUCACUGCAGCAGUGUGGGCGCAGCCCGAGGAGCACCCCGGCUCCCCAGGCAGGGGCGCACGCACGCACGCAGGCACGCGGCCGGGCUCCCCACUAACUCCGGCGGGGCGCCCCCACUCUGGGGCCGGACCUUCCGCAGGCGCCCCGGGCCGUCCUCCCCGCGGGGGGAGGCGCCCGCCCUGCCCAUCCCACUCGGGGGAGUUGGGGGCGCGGGGCCGGCCGUGCCAACGGGGCUGGAACCGUACCCCCUCCUCCCUCGGGGAGCGGCUCGGCCCGGGCUGGGGGAGGGGCAGGGGCCCGGAGGAGGGGGCGCGGGGGCGGGGGCCCGGCCCGAGAGCGGGCGGGCAGCCCCACAGACACGCGCGCACACGCAUUCACUCACCGGCUCGCGCCCCGCUGUCUGGCCCCCGCCGCCGCCGCCGCUCCAGCCCCCGCGCCUCUGGCCGCCGCCGGUGCCCCCUCAGCUGCUGCCGCCGCCGCCGCCGCCGCCGAUGCCCCCCAUGGACCAAGCCCGGCGCCGGACUGGAAGCGGCCAGAAGCGCCGCGGCUGCGCUCCCCUCCGCUCGGCUCGCGUGUCCCCGCGCGGCGCGGCGCCCGCCUGCCCGCCCGCCGGCCCUCCCUCCCUCCCUCCCUCCGGCCCUCGCGCGCUCGCUCGCUCGCUCUCGCGCCGCCCCCCGGCCCCGCCCCCGCCGCCGCCGCCGCCGCCUCGCGCAGCCGCCCCGCCCCCGGGAGUUCGCGCGAGCCCGCGGCCCCUUGCGCGUGCGCCGGCCGCGACUGGCGGGCGGGGGCACGCGGGGCCCCUGCUCGGCGCCUGCCCUCGGCUGCUCCUCUGCUGCCCCCUACCCGGCUCCCGCUGCUUCCACGCCCCCGCGAGCCCCGCCCCCUCCCCGCCCGCGCUCCGCGUGGCCCGUCUGGCUCCGGGAGCGCGGGCGGCCACGUGGGGCCCGGGGGUGGCCGGCCUUCUCCUCCCCCUCCCCCGCGCCCGCGGUCUCCCGGGCUGA